rnacentral:lncRNA from 1 species
GUUAGAUCCCUUGGGUUUUUUGAGAUCCAAUGGGUCCGAACUUUCUAAUUUUGAAAAAAAAAAUGAAAGUUAUGCACUAUGCAUGCAGUAUCACAUUAAUUACUAGUACUUAAUGGUUCAAAGAUCCUUGAGCAUGACCAAACUUUUCUAUUGAGCUGAAAGAUUUUAUGAAGUUGAAAAACAGAUACGUGGAAUUCUUGGUUGUUUUUGUUCUUCGUUCGAAAAAUGUUUCGUCUGAUUCAUUAGUUAAAAUAACAAAAAAUUUUUAUAGAUAAUUGUAUUACAUUGAUUAUUUUUUUCUGGUAUGAUUUUCCGGACUAUCUCAAGCUUGAGUAAUAAAACAACUGUCUGAAGAAACAAAAAUUAAGUUUACUUAAUCUGGUAAAAUAUAUAUUUAGACGUUCAAAAUAUAUGGCCGUACUAUGAAGACAUGACUUGAUUCUUCCGUAGCAAAUAUUCCUCACAUUUUAUAUUUUAUGUACGUUUUACCGAAGAACUUAUAGUUUAUUCUUUUCGCUGUGAAAUAUACUCCCACUAUUUUAAUAUUUAUUAUUUAAAAUGUGCUCUCUAUUUAAAAUUCUAGAUUUCGGGAUAAAGUGAAUUCUCUAGAAAAAGUGCUACAUCAAACACAAUAUGACAGCUUUACGUACCUUAUAUAAAUGACCCUUAUAGACCCUUCAAUACAUCAAACACGGAAACUCAUCAAAGUCACUUCUUAUCUUUACCAAGAGACAUCAAGCUCCCUAUUAUAAGUUCUUCAACUUUCCAAUAGUCAUCAUCCCUAGUAUAUCUCUUAUCUCAAUCAAGACACUCAGUUUGAUACUUUGCGGCUUCCAAAACUCUUUCACAUUAUAACAUUAAUGGAGAAGCUACAGAAGAUGAUUUCCGGAAAGUCGGUAGUUAUCUUUAGCAAUAACUCUUGCUGCAUGUCUCACACAAUCAAGACUCUCUUCUUAGACUUUGGCGUCAACCCGACGAUCUAUGAGCUAGACGAGAUCAGCAGAGGAAAAGAGAUUGAGAAACAGCUUUACGUACCUUAUAUAAAUGACCCUUAUAGACCCUUCAAUGCAUCAAACACGGAAACUCAUCAG